CCGGGAUGGAGCUCUGAGCGAUGAUCACCUCGCUGGGCAGAACCAAACUCGACAACUUCUGCACCUCUGAAACACACGCAGCACAUCAGCAGCAGUUACACGCCUAACAGGCCUGGAAACGGAGGGGGUCAGAGCACUAAACGGGUUAAAGAGCUCAAUGGGGGAGAAGAAAGGAGACAAAGUGGGAAAAUAGUGGAGAACAGUAAUGCCAGAGUCACAGAGACCUUGGGAAGAAACUGGGGACAGUGGGGGAGAGCGGAGACCCCGUGACAGGGGAAGGUGAUCUCCCAGCACGUUCCUCCAGCGGCCGUACAGGAAGCUGUGCAGGAUGUCGGAGGUGAUGAUGUCGCACAGGGAGUGAGGCUGAG